AUGUCCACAACAUGCAGACAUUUCUGGGCCAGGGUUUGAUCCCAAGCCUCAGCAGUGACCUGAGCCAUAGCAGUGACAACGCCAGAUCCUCAACCUAUGGGGCCACCAGGGAACUCCCUUGCUCCUAAUUUGUAGGAGACUUUUGAAAGGUCUAAUCCUAAGCAAUGCAGACUGAGAAAGCUAAAAGAGUAAAAUAGAAAGAGUGGUAUUCAAAGAAUUGAAAAGGACAAGAAAGAGUAGGGGUAUUCCUUUUUGUCUUUUGGCAAAUUUUAAGACAUGAAACCUCCCAGUUUGCUUUUCUAGACUAGAGCAAAUGGGAGUUUCUGCUGUGGGUUAAAAAUCUGACUGUAGCAGCUCCAGUUGCUGUGGAGGUGCAUGUUCCAUCCCUGGCCCAGCACAGUGGGUGGCUAAAGGAUCAGGAGUUGCUACAGCUGUGGCUUAGGUUCAACCCCUGGUCCAGGAGCUUCCAUGUGCUGUGGGUAUGGCCCUGAAAUGGAAAAAAAAAAAAAAAAAAGACUAGAGCAAAGACCAAAUCAGGGAAGUCAAAAUAGUUUUCAAAUUUCAUAUUUAUUCAGACUUCUUAUUGUGGCUCAGCAGGUUAAGAACCUGACAUUCUGUCUGUGAGGAUGCGGGCUGAAUUCCUGACUCCACUCAGUGGUUUAAGGAUAUGGCAUUGCUGCAACCUGUGGCAUAAGUUGCAGAUGUGGCUCAGAUCUGGCAUUGCUGUGGCUGUGGCGCAGGUUGGCAGCUGCAGCUCCAAUUUGAUCCCUAACCCAGGAACUUUAAUAUGCCUCAGGUGUGGCCCUAAAAAGAAAAAAGAGCAGCCACUCUGGCUUGAGGCAGAGGAACAGAGAUAGUAGAAGUUAAAUUAUUCAAUGGGAAAAAAGGACAAGUUUUCAAAAAUUUCAUAUUUGUUCAUUUUUAGGGAGAUAACAAUGUCAUCAAAUAUAGCAGGGUUGAACAUUACGUAUAAUAUUGUUUGAAGUUAUCUAUUCAUUCUCUGCACAAGCUUAAUUUUUUUUACAUGUUCUGCACAUCUUCCCUGUUGCUGGUUGGAAGGUCGUUAAAACAUCCUAGAAAGCUGUACUGGGACAGUUAGUGUUGGGAGGAGUCCAUGGAUGUUUUGUGAGCACUCUGUAUAUAAUGUACAAUGUAAUGAGUUGUAAAGAGUUGGAGAUCCACAGGGGGUGAGGAUGAUUUACAACAUCCUUUACAAUUUAGAAUAAAGGAGGUGGGUUUAGAGAGACCUUAGAGGUUAAAGAGAUCAAUCUUCUAGGAAGUGAAGUAAUCCCUUUGACAGUAACCCUGACAGAUGGUUAUUUAACAUCUGCUUAAACAUUUACAGUGAUUUCCAAUCACUAGAAGCUCACUGCUUAUCCAGGCAAGUCAUUUUAUUUAUCCGCCCCCUCUUUUUUAUGACUGCACCAAUUCCAUGUGGAGGUUUCCAGGCCAGGGAUGGAAUCUGUACCAUGGCAGUGACCCAAGACACAAGCAGUGACAAUGCCAGAUCCUUUACCACUACAUCACCAGGGAAUUCCUAUUUAUUCCCAUCUUGAAUUAUCAUAAACCUUUCUUUAUAAUAAUUUGAGAUCUGCCUUUUUGCAACUACUUCCUAGGGAUCCCAGUUCUUUCCUUGGGAGUAAUACAAACUAAGACUUAGUAAACUAUUGGGCAAUUUUCCUAUAGUGAAGGAGUUACUGUGUCAUUCCUUCCCUUCUCCAGGCUAAAUAUCUCAAUUCUUUCUAACACUCCCAAGCUAUCUUGGUCUCCUACCUCGAGACAAUGUUGAUUUUAUCAAGGUCCAAAUAGAACAGAUGUGGUCUGAUCAGUUUAGGGUCUAAUGGGUCUAUAACUUUCCUUGAUUUGGAUUUAAUUUUACUGUUAAUGUAGCACAAGCUGGGUUUUUUUGGUGAACAAGUCAUACUUUUGGCAUCUAUUGAGCUGUGGUCAAUAGAAACUGUCAUUUCUUAUUCUUAAAGUUUGUAUAGUUUAAAAAUUAACAUACAGUAAAAUUAGCAUUUUUAGUGUACAAUUCUGUGAGUCUUAACACAUGUAUAGAUUUGUGUAACCACCACCACAAUCAAGACAGAACAGUUCUGCCCACCACCUCCUCAAAAAUUUCCUCCUUAAUAUACCUUUCUAAUCAUACCCUCCUCUGACUCCUAAACCCUAGAAACCACUAUUCUGUUUUCCAUCACUUAUAGUUUUGUCUUUUCAAGAAUGUCAUAUAAAUGGAAUCAUUUAACAUGCAACUUUGGGACUGACUUUUUUCACUCAUCAUAGUGCCUUUGUGAUUUAUUCAAUUUGUUGCCUGUGUCAAUAGUUUGUUUCUGUUUAUUCCUAAAUUGUGUUCCAUCGUGUGGAUUACCAUUGCUUGUAUAUUUACUCAGCAGUUUAAGGAUAUUUGGUUGCUUCCAACUUUUCGCAAUUUUGAUGGAGUUACUGUAACCAUUCAUGUACUAGUUUUUGUGUGAAGAUAGUUUUCCUUUCUCCUAAAUACAAAGGAGUGGAAUUGUUGAGAUACAUUCGUUAACCACUGCGCCACGACGGGAACUCCAGCAAUUGAUCUUUAGAGCGAGUGGAGGAAAGAGAGAACCAGAAGAUGAUGAAUCCUGACAGUGUUGUCUGUUCUCAGCUGUUACUUUGAAUGUAGAUGUUUGGUGCAAGAUUGAUCUUCAUUAGUGGUAUAAACCCUCUUGGUUUGACUGUUUCAAGGCUAGGAAAAAUGGAUGCAUAUGGAACUGUUGGCAGAAAGGAUUUAUUUCAGGACACAGAAUGAUUUGAACGGAAAUUACAUUUUGAAAAUAUGAUGGCACCUGUUCCUAUUAUGAGCACCUUUUUAGGGUUCCUGAAAUUCAGAUGAAACUCUAAUUAUGGAAAAAGUAGUUACUGUUAAAGGCAAAAGCUCAUCUUUUCCUCUCUGUAAUAAUAGCAUGAUAAUCUCUAUACAUGAGGGUUGAUUUAUACCUUCUCCUGUUGGUUUCCAGUAGCAGUAAUUUCAAAAAGUUCUGGUGAAUCUUGUGAUCCAGUCUCCUCUCCAUGACAGAUGUAACUACUAUUUUACUACAAGAUACUCUAAAAUGACACAAACAGCAGAAAUAAGAACAAGAGCAGCCACAACAAAACCUAGUUUCCAGCAAAAUCCUGAUUCCACAUCUAAGCUGUGCAAACUCAGUUCUUCCAGAUAAUUGCCUUAUAUCUACUCCCUUUCUCCUUCAUUUCAUAAUACAAGACUUUCCCACUAAAAUCAAUCACUCUUUGUCUCAGCUCAUGUUUUCCUAUGUACAGGAGUUAGAAUUGUUCUGAACAGUUAAUUAGCCAUAAAUCCAUCUCCAAAACACAGAACAUGUCAGCUGCUUUGGUAAACCUCCUAUGUUCCAUUUUGCUUCAGUGCUUUUUUUAUAAACCUAAUUGUGUUAAUGCACUGGCAUAUUUAUUGCUCACCUUUUCACCCUUUAUGCUGAUCUCUGGCUGCCCACGGGGUUCUUUCAAUCGAUCAAAACCACAAUCCCCCUGUGUAAGAAAGGUCACAUUUACUCUAACAAUGGGAACCCACAGCCAUGUGUUGCCUCGGCGUGGGUCACCAGGCACACAUCAAAGCAAAGGCUAUGGCUUGCUUGGAUCCUUCUUGAGUUUUUACUUUCUCAGUUUCAGAUUCAGAGGCACAGGAAUGAUUAAAAAAAAAUUUUUUUUUUGACUGCCACCUCACACUCACUAUGUGUUCUAGGAAGGAAAAUGGAAGGGUUUUAUUCAAAAGAAAUAUCUCUUCUCUCUGCUCAAGCUUACACCAGAAUUUUUCUGACUAUGACUCAGGACCAGAAAAGAACAGAGAGGAGAGUGGGUAGAUAUGAGAAUUCAGCUCAAUGGAAAGCAGAAGUCUUGUGGAGGAUGUGAAUUUUGCCACAUGCUAGGUUAGUUUCUUCAUUUAUCCUUCUACCCUUCCAUUUAUCCAUCCCAUCCAUCCUCCAUCUGUCCAUCUAUUUGUCCAUCCCUCCAUCUGCCCCUUACUUUGUAGAGAUCUUAGCACCAGAGAUCAUAAACUCAAAUGCCUUCAGGAUAUGAACGAGAUUUAAAAACUAUGAAAAAUGAGAAUUGAGAGUGAACUGGGAACACAGGUCCCAUCUUAAAGCCGUGACCACUCCUCAGCCUUAGCAUUUUCUAAGCAGGAGUACAAGUCCAGCGUGAACUGAAUUUUCAAGAGAAUCAGGAAACCUAACUUUUUACAACAAAUCUUCCAACUUUUAAAUGUCGACAUUAACUAUCUGAAAGUUUUAAAAUCACUGUGCAGAAUGGAUCUGCUUUCUGAAUUUGACAAGCAAUUCAGGACAUCCAAAGCUCCACUGUUCUGAAGUUUAGAGAGGAGUGAGAAGGUCAGAAGUGAUUAUGCUACAGGAGUUCCCAUCGUGGCACAGUGGUUAACGAAUCCGACUAGGAGCCAUGAGGUUUCGGGUUUGAUCCCUGCCCUUGCUCAGUGGGUUAAGGAUCUGGCAUUGCCAUGAGCUGUGAUGUAGGUCACAGACUCGGCGUGGAUCUGGUGUUGCUGUGGCUGUGGUAUCGGCCAGUGGCUACAGCUCUGAUUCAGCUCCUAGCCUGGGAAUCUCCAUAUGCCACGGGUGCAGCCCUAAAAAGCAAAGAAUAAAAUAAAUAAAUAAAUAAAUCUGGAGAGUUUGGAACUAAAUUAUAGACGACUCUAAAAUCAGAUUCAGCAGUUAAAUUUUAUUAACAUUCAUUUGGCAGUGGAGAAGUAUUGAAGGAUUUUAGAAAAGCAACAAGGAGAAAACUUUGUGAUAUCUGUGUGUAGGUUGGUGAGAAAUGGGAGAGACUAUAAGCAGAAAACUAGAGGCAAUUAUAGCAAUCCAGGCAUAAAUAGGAAAAAGCGGUAGUUAAAAAAAAAAAAA
rnacentral:lncRNA from 1 species